UACGGGAAGGCAGCAGUGGGGAAUAUUGCACAAUGGGCGCAAGCCUGAUGCAGCCAUGCCGCGUGUAUGAAAAAGGCCUUCGGGUUGUAAAGUACUUUCAGUCGUGAGGAAGGUGUUAAGGUUAAUAACCUUAGCAAUUGACGUUAGCGACAGAAGAAGCACCGGCUAACUCCGUGCCAGCAGCCGCGGUAAUACGGAGGGUGCGAGCGUUAAUCGGAAUUACUGGGCGUAAAGGGCACGCAGGCGGUUAAUUAAGUUGGAUGUGAAAUCCCCGGGCUUAACCUGGGAAUGGCAUUCAAGCUGGUUAGCUAGAGUCUUGUAGAGGGGGUAGAAUUCCAUGUGUAGCGGUGAAAUGCGUAGAGAUGUGGAGGAAUACCGGUGGCGAAGGCGGCCCCUGGACAAAGGACUGACACUCAUGUGCGAAAGCGUGGGGAGCAAACAGGGAUUAGAU
rnacentral:rRNA from 1 species